AGCGGAAUAGUUUAGUGGCUAGAACAAUGGAAUCAUAUCCCAUAAGUCAUGAGUUCGAAUCUCAUUUUCGCUA
rnacentral:tRNA from 1 species